GGCUUAUUGAAGAUAAUUUUAAGUYUGGCCUGCCCACUGAGCAUUUAAAUGGCCGCGGUAAAUUGACCGUGCAAAGGUAGCAUAAUCAUUAGUUUUUUAAUUGAAAGCUUGAAUGAAGGGUUUGAUGAGAAAAUGGCUGUCUCUUUUAAAUUUUAAUUAGAAUUUUAUUUUUAAGUUAAAAAGCUUAAAUAUUCAUGGAAGACGAGAAGACCCUAUAGAGUUUAAUAUUUAAUAGAUUUAGUAAAAAAGAAAUUAUGGUAAGUUUUAUAAAUAUUUGGUUGGGGUGAUGGAAAAAUUAAAUAAACUUUUUUUUGGUUUGAACAUUAAUAUGUGGAUAUUUGAUCUUAGAGUUUAGAUAGUAAGAAUAAAUUACCUUAGGGAUAACAGCGUAAUUUUUUUGAGAGUUCUUAUCGGAAAAAAAGAUUGCGACCUCGAUGUUGGAUUAAAAUUAAUAGUUGGUGAAGAAGCUAAGGAAAUUAGGUCUGUUCGACCUUUGAAAUUUUACAUGAUCUGAGUUUAAACCGGUGUGAG
rnacentral:rRNA from 1 species